rfam:Alligator mississippiensis ScZkoYb_152, whole genome shotgun sequence.
ACUCGGCGAUGUUCUACUAGGUCCCACUUGACCCUUUGCUGUGUACUUGACAGAAGGGAAACAAAGAUUCUGUGACUGAGAGA